GCAAUAUUUGCUAGCAGGCCAGGCAAUACACUCAAAUGCAUAUUUCUGAUAGUAUGCAUUAUCUAUACGGAUUAAGACGGUGUAUUGGAGUCAGAAGGCCCUUGACAGCUAUGCAGGAGUCCCAAACUAACAUUGUUGCUCUCUAUCCUAGCCCCGAUUAGACCAUCUCAAAUCGCCGAUUUUCAGCUUUCUCAAGAUGGUUUGUUCACGAUGAAUUCUUUCUAUAAGUUUCUCAAUUGCGGAGGUCUUAAUGAGGUGUCCAUGUGCUAAAUCUAUAUGGAAAGCUCCUUCAUUGGAGAGAGUACAAGUCUUCUUAUGGCUUGCUUCAAAGAAUAAAUUACACACGAAGGAUGUUC
rnacentral:lncRNA from 1 species